rnacentral:lncRNA from 1 species
UUAAAAGUGUAAAGACCUUUAGAAAAAUGAUUGAAAUUUUUUGUCCUUCAUUAAAAUACGUUACAAUAAACAAAAUCGUCUAACCUUUAAUUAAAUUAUAAUUACCAAUAAAAUUUUUAUUAUUUACCUAAAUCUUAAAAUUCCUUUUUUUAACGUAAUUAAAAUGUUCAAUUUGUUAUCAUAGAAAGUACCGUAAUUAGUUUUGGGUACAAUUAAAAUCA